rnacentral:rRNA from 1 species
GACGAACGCUGGCGGCGUGCUUAACACAUGCAAGUCGAACGGAAAGGCCCUGCUUUUGUGGGGUGCUCGAGUGGCGAACGGGUGAGUAACACGUGAGUAACCUGCCCUUGACUUUGGGAUAACUUCAGGAAACUGGGGCUAAUACCGGAUAGGAGCUCCUGCUGCAUGGUGGGGGUUGGAAAGUUUCGGCGGUUGGGGAUGGACUCGCGGCUUAUCAGCUUGUUGGUGGGGUAGUGGCUUACCAAGGCUUUGACGGGUAGCCGGCCUGAGAGGGUGACCGGCCACAUGGGGACUGAGAGACGGCGCAGACUCCUACGGGAGGCAGCAGUGGGGAAUAUUGCACAGUGGGCGGAAGCCUGAUGCAGCAACGCCGCGUGCGGGAUGACGGCCUUCGGGUUGUAAACCGCUUUCGCCUGUGACGAAGCGUGAGUGACGGUAAUGGGUAAAGAAGCACCGGCUAACUACGUG